rnacentral:rRNA from 1 species
CAGUAGCCGCGGUAAUACGUAGGGUGCGAGCGUUAAUCGGAAUUACUGGGCGUAAAGCGUGCGUAGGCGGUUUGUUAAGUCUGUUGUGAAAUCCCCGGGCUCAACCUGGGAAUGGCAAUGGAUACUGGCAAGCUAGAGUGUGUCAGAGGAUGGUGGAAUUCCCGGUGUAGCGGUGAAAUGCGUAGAGAUCGGGAGGAACAUCAGUGGCGAAGGCGGCCAUCUGGGACAACACUGACGCUGAGGCACGAAAGCGUGGGGAGCAAACAGGAUUAGAUACCCCUGUAGUCCCUGUCUCUUAUAC